rnacentral:tRNA from 1 species
GGGUCCGUAGCUCAGCCUGGAAAAGAAAGGUCUUUGGGUAAGAGAGCAUACGGCUGAAGACCGUAGUAUCGGGAGUUCAAAUCUCCCCGGGCCCA